UACGUAGGCAGCAAGCGUUGUUCGGAAUUACUGGGCGUAAAGAGUGUGUAGGUGGUGUCGUAAGUUUGGUGUGAAAUCUCCCGGCUUAACUGGGAGGGUGCGCCGAAGACUGCGAUGCUGGAGUAUGGGAGAGGAAAGCGGAAUUCCUGGUGUAGCGGUGAAAUGCGUAGAUAUCUGGAGGAACACCGGUGGCGAAGGCGGCAUCCUGGACCGGCAUUGACGCUGAGGAGCGAAAGCCAGGGGAGCAAAGCGGG
rnacentral:rRNA from 1 species